UCUUCUGUCAAAUCUUUUGUAUCGGAGACUUUGAAAAACCAAACACUUUAUUAUUGUUUCCCUCCACAGAGAAUACUACAUCACUUUCUGCAGCAACAGCUGCUGGUGGUGGUCAAGGUUUGUUUGUUCAGCUACAGCAGAAGCACCGCUUCACGUCGUUCGUCCCCGCAUAACUGAUGCAGAACCCGAAGGUGUAAUACUCCUUGCGGCAGUGCUCAACGCAUGGCCGAUCCUCACAAGGACCAGUAUAUGUCAUGCUGGGUUCCGCACAAUGUAGACCAUCAGACCCUGCAACAACAAAAGGAGAUAAGAACAUCGUAGCAUCAGAUAUAUAAUAUCCCACACAAUGUUUCACAAAGAAAUUAACAUCAGUCAUGAGGUAUGAACUUCAGAUCCAGCCAGCAUCACCAGAUACAUAGUAGAUCGUACAUCGAGAAAGCGCUAUGGUAGCUAAAAAUCAUGGCAAGAGCUUACCUGGGAUGAUCGAAAGGAGUGGCAUGAGCAGCAGCAGCAGGCACAGGACUGGCACCUUGAUGAAGACACCCAUGUCUCCUGAAACAAAUGGUCUGAGGAAGGAAGCGAGCGGUACAAAUGGAUCAGCAGCACCAUAUUCUUCUUAUACCCAUGGCCAUGGAUGGGUCAGACCUCAGAAGUGAACAAGUACAGCUCUAUGAUAGAUAGGAUGAUGCAAUUCUAUCUGCAUGAUGUGAUGUUGUGGAUACAGCAUAAAAGACGAUGCAUAUCUAUCUUUAGGAUGUAGUGUUGUCAUGUACACUCAAAAGACGCUCCAAACAUCAUAACGACGAUUAAGCAAAAAUAUGUUAUGGCAUCCUAUUUAUUGAGAAAAAGAAAAGUUACCAUAUCUUAAUGCAGAUAUAGCUCUUAGCACUAAAACCAACACAAGUUAUAUAUUUUUCUCUCGCAAAACACAUUAAAUGUGAGCUCUUUUUGAUAAAAGAACAAAGUUGCAAUCAAUAGGAGGAGCUAUAUCUAAAUACAUAUUUAAUGCAUAUGAUAUAGCUUAGGAUAGUAAUGCAUUGGGUGUGACCGAAGUGAUAAAUUUAAUUUUACUCGUAGAUACUCUUAAAUUUUGCCGAUGAAAUUCACCAAAGUAAUGAUAUGUCAAUUAAAGCCAUACGGCGGAUUUAUAUUUAUAAUUUUGCAUUAGUUGCUCCAUGUUGGGAACAAUUUCUGCAUGCUAUAUAUACAGGACAACAAAAGAUCUCAACUAAUUAUGAUCAGAUCACUAGUAGAAAACAGGGUACUAGUCCCGGUUCGGGAGGGCCUUUAGUCCCGGUUCUGAAACUGGGACAAAACAAACCGAACUAAUGCCCAAAACCUUUAGUCCCGGUUUGCUUACGAACCGGGACCAAAGGAGGUCCACGUGGCCGCUCUGGGGCGCCAGGGAGGAGGAACCUUUAGUUACAGUUAGUAACACAAACCGGGACUAAAGGGCAGCCACACAUCAGCAGCUCCCAGGUGCUGGGUUUUUAUUUGGAAGGGGGGUUUAUUAGGGGUUGUGGAUGGUUUAGUUAGGGGUUUCAUAUUGUCUUAGCUAUGGCUACUACAUAUAGAGAGAAGUGACCUCUGUUUCUCCGUGCUUGCUCGACGCUACCUACUACAUAUAGAGAGAACUCGACGCUAGUAAGAAAAUGAGGAAGCAUGAUACACAAGAUCGUCAUAAACAUAUACAGAGAGAAGUGACCUCUCUUUCUCCGAGAUUGGUCGAACAACAAGUUCUAGUAUUUCUAUUCGACGCUACUACAUAUUUACAAUAUAACACCUUUUACGAUCCCUGACAUCAUAUACCGAUAAUCAGCUUCAAUUUCCACAUGGUAUUUUCCGUCUUUAUGUAUGACGUUGUCAAGAAAGAAUCACACCAAUUCCUCUUCAAUUGCUCGUAUGCGAUCAUGUGGUAGGAGUUCAUCCCGCAUCUGCCACAUGUAAUUUAAAGAAGGGGGUCAAUACAUAUAUAUAUGAAUGAAACUCAACACAAUUGGUUACGUACUUCAUAUUGUUUGUCAGGGUAGCCCUGCUCAGAUGUCGAGUGGUGGAUGAAUUCGCAAACGUAGUAUCCAUAUAAAUCAUUGCCGCCUUCCUGCCAGAAGCACUUUACGAGAAAUAGAAUUCAACCUAACUAAUAGUCAAGCAUGAUAAAUGGUAAUGAUGAAACUAGAAUCAAUGAGAGAUGCGUGGAACUAGCUAGUGAAGGAAAUAUGCCCUAGGGGCAAUAAUAAAGUUAUUAUUUAUUUCCUUAUUUCAUGAUAAAUGUUUAUUAUUCAUGCUAGAAUUGUAUUAAUCGGAAACAUGAUACAUGUGUGAAUCCAUAGACAAACAUAUAGUCACUAGUAUGCCUCAACUUGACUAGCUCAUUAAUCAAAGAUGGUUAUGUUUCCUAACCAUAGACAUGUGUUGUCAUUUGAUUAAUGGGAUCACAUCAUUAGGAGAAUGAUGUGAUUGACAUGACCCAUUCCGUUAGCAUAGCACUUGAUCGUUUGGUAUGUUGCUAUUGCUUUCUUCAUGACUUAUACAUAUUCCUGUAACUAUGAGAGUAUGCAACUCCCGUUUACCGGAGGAACACUUUGGGUGCUACCAAACGUCACAACGUAACUGGGUGAUUAUAAAGGAGUACUACAGGUGUCUCCAAAGGUACAUGUUGGGUUGGCGUAUUUUGAGAUUAGGUUUUGUCACUCCGAUUGUCCGAGAGGUAUCUCUGGGCCCUCUCGGUAAUGCACAUCACUAUAAGCCUUGCAAGCAAUGUGACUAAUGAGUUAGUUGCGGGAUGAUGCAUUACGUAACGAGUAAAGAGACUUGCCGGUAACGAGAUUGAACUAGGUAUUGGAUACCGACGAUCGAAUCUCGGGCAAGUAACAUACGGAUGACAAAGGGAACAACGUAUGUUGUUAUGCGGUUUGACCGAUAAAAGAUCUUCGUAGAAUAUGUGGGAGCCAAUAUGAGCAUCCAGGUUCCGCUAUUGGUUAUUGACCGAGAAUAGUUCUAGGUCAUGUCUACAUUGUUCUCGAACCCGUAGGGUCCGCACGCUUAAGGUUUCGAUGACAGUUAUAUUAUGAGUUUAUGAGUUUUGAUGUACCGAAGGAGUUCGGAGUCCCGGAUGAGAUCGGGGACAUGACGAGGAGUCUCGAAAUGGUCGAGACGUAAAGAUCGAUAUAUUGGACGACUAUAUUCGGAGUUUGGAAAGGUUCCGAGUGAUUCGGCUUUUAUCGGAGUACCGGAGAGUUACGGGAAUUCGCCGGGGAGAAGUAUUGGGCCAUACGGGAAAGAGAGAGGGGCUGCCUAGGGCAGGCCGCGCGCCCCCCCAAGGCCUAGUCCGAAUUGGACUAGGGGGAGGGGCCGCACCCCCUCCUUCCUUCCCUUCUCUCUUCCCCUUCCUUCUCUCCUACUCCUACUAGGAAAGGAGGAGUCCUACUCCCGGUGGGAGUAGGACUCCCCCCUUGGGCACGCCUCCUCCUCCUUGGCCAGCCCUCCCCUUGCUCCUUUAUAUACGGGGGCAGGGGGGCACCCCAUGACACACAAGUUGAUCUAUGGAUCGUUCCUUAGCCAUGUGUGGUGCCCCCCUCCACCAUAUUCCACCUCGGUCAUAUCGUCGCGGAGUUUAGGUGAAGCCCUGCGCCGGUAGAGCAUCAUCAUCGUCACCACGCCGUCGUGCUGACGGAACUCAUCCCCGAGACUUUGCUGGAUCGGAGUCCGGGGAUCGUCAUCGAGCUGAACGUGUGCUGAACUCGGAGGUGCCGUACAUUUGGUACUUGGAUCGGUCGGAUCGUGAAGACGUACGACUACAUCAACCACGUUGUCAUAACGCUUCCGCUUAUGGUCUACGAGGAUACGUGGACUACACUCUCCCCUCUCGUUGCUGCCAUCACCAUGAUCUUGCGUGUGCGUAGGAAUUUUUUUGAAAUUACUACGUUUCCCAACAGUGGUAUCAGAGCCUAGGUUUUAUGCGUAGAUGUCAUAUGCACGAGUAGAACAUAAGUGAGUUAUGGGCGAUAUAAGUCAUACUGCUUACCAGCAUGUCAUACUUUGGUUCAGCGGCAUUGUGAGAUGAAGCGGCCCGGACCGACAUUACGCGUACGCUUACGCGAGACUGGUUUCACCGUUACGAGCACUCGUGCUUAAAGGUGGCUGGCGGGUGUCUGUCUCUCUCACUUUAGCUGAAUCGAGUGUGGCUACGCCCGGUCCUUGCGAAGGUUGAAACAGCACCAACUUGACGAACUAUCGUUGUGGUUUUUUUUAUGCUUAGGUAAGAACGGUUCUUGCUAAAGCCCGUAGCAGCCACGUAAAAUUUGCAACAACAAAGUAGAGGACGUCUAACUUGUUUUUGCAGGGCAUGUUGUGAUGUGAUAUGGUCAAGACGUGAUGAUAUAUAAGUUGUUGUAUGAGAUGAUCAUGUUUUGUUGAAGUUAUCGGCAACUGGCAGAAGCCCUAUGGUUGUCUCUUUGUUGCAUAAGAUGUAAGUGCCAAAUAAUUGCUUUACUUUAUCGCCAUGCGAUAGCAAUAGUUGCAAGAGCAAUAGUUGGCGAGACGACCAUGUGACGACACAUUGAUAUAGAUCAAGAUGAUGAAGAUCAUGGUGUCGUGCCGGUAACGAUAGAGAUCAUGACAGUACUUUGGAGAUGGAGAUCAAAGGCGCAAGAUGAUCAUGGCCAUAUCAUGUCACAUAUUUUGAUUGCAUAUGAUGUUUAUCUGUUAUACAUUUUAUUCUGUUUUGUUUGACGGUAGCAUUAUAAGAUGAUCUCUCACUAAUUAUCAAAAAGUGUUCUCCCUGAGUUUGCACCGUUGCGAAAGUUCUUCGUGCUGAGACACCACGUGAUGAUCGGGUGUGAUAGGCUCUACGUUCAAAUACAACGGGUGCAAAACAGUUGCACACGCGGAAUACUCAGGUUAACUUGCCGAGCCAAGCAUAUACAGAUAUGGCCUCGGAACACGAAGACCGAAAGGUCGAGCGUGAAUCAUAUAGUAAAUAUGAUCAACAUAGUGAUGUUCACCGUUGAAACUACUCCGUCUCACGUGAUGAUCGGACAUGGUGUAGUUGAUAUGGAUCAUGUAUUCACUUACAGGAUUAGAGGGAUGUCUAUCUAAGUGGGAGUUCUUUAGUAAUAUGAUUAAUUGAACUUAAAUUUAUCAUGAACUUAGUCCUGGUAGUAUUUUGAAAUUAUGUUGUAGAUCAAUAGCUUGCGUUGUGGCUUUCAAAUGUUUAUUUUGAUAUGUUCCUAGAGAAAAUUGUGUUGAAAGACGUUAGUAGCAAUGAUGCGGAUUGGAUCAGUGAUUUGAGGUUUACCCUCAUUGCUGCACAGAAGAAUUAUGUCCUUAAUGCACCGCUAGGUGACAGACCUAUUGCAGGAGCAGAUGCAGACGUUAUGAACGUUUGGCUAGCUCAAUAUGAUGACUACUUGAUAGUUUUGUGCACCAUGCUUUAUGGCUUAGAAUCGGGACGUCAAAGACGUUUUGAACGUCAUGGACCAUAUGAGAUGUUCCAGGAAUUGAAGUUAAUAUUUCAAGCAAAUACCCAAGUUGAGAGAUAUGAAGUCUCCAACAAGUUCUAUUGCUAAAAGAUGGAGGAGAAUCGCUCAACUAGUGAGCAUGUGCUCAGAUUGUCUGAUUACUUCAAUCGCUUGAAUCAAGUGGGAGUUAAUCUUCCAGAUAAGAUAGUGAUUGACAGAAUUCUCUGGUCACCAUCACCAAGUUAGUAGAACUUUGUGAUGAACUAUAGUAUGCAAGGGAUGACGAAAACGAUUCCGAGCUCUUCGUGAUGUUGAAAUCAACGAAGGUAGAAAUCAAGAAAGAGCAUCAAGUGUUGAUGAUUGACAAGACCACUAGUUUCAAGAAAAGGGCAAAGGGAAAGAAAGGGAACUUCAACUAGAAUGACAAGCAAGUUUUCACUCCCACGAAGAAGCCCAAAAAUGAACCAAAGCCUGAAACUGAUUGCUUACACUGCAAAGGAAAUGGUCACUGGAAACGGAAAUACCCUGAAUAUUUGGUGGAUAAGAAGGAUGGCAAACUGAACAAGGGUAUAUUUGAUAUACAGGUUAUUGAUGUGUACCUUACUGGUGUUUAUAGUAACCCCUGAGUAUUUAAUACUUGUUCGGUUGCUAAAGAUUAGUAACUCAAAACAGGAGUUACAGAAUAAACAGAAACUAGUUGAGGGUGAAGUGAUGAUGUGUGUUGGAAGUGGUUCCAAGAUUGAUAUGAUCAUCAUCGCACACUCCCUGUACUUUCGGGAUUAGUGUUAAACCUAAAUAAAUGUUAUUUGGCGUUUGCGUUGAACAUGAAUAUGAUUUGAUCAUGUUUAUUGCGAUACGGUUAUUCAUUUAAAGUCAAAGAAUAAUCGUUAUUCUGUGUACAUGAAUAAAACCUUCGAUGGUCAUACACCCAAUGAAAAUAGUUUGUUGGAUCUCGAUCGUAGUGAUACACAUAUUCGUUAGAUUGAUGCCAAAAGAUGCAAAGUUAAUAAUGAUAGUGCAACUUAUUUGUGGCACUGCCAUUUGGGUCAUAUCAGUGUAAAGCGCAUGAAGAAACUCCAUAAAGAUGGAUUUUCGAAAUCACUUGGUUAUGAAUCAUUUGAUGCUUGCGAACCGUGCCUUUUGGGCAAGAUGACUAAAACUCCGUUCUCCGGAAAAAUGGAACGAGCUACUGACUUAUUGGAAAUAAUACAUAUCGAUGUAUGCGAUCCAAUGAGUGUUGAUGCUCGUGGCAAGUAUCGUUAUUUUCUGACCUUAACAAGAUGAUUUGAGUAGAUAUGGGUAUAUAUACUUGAUGAAACAUAAGUCUGAAAUAGUUGAAAGGUUCAAAGAAUUUCAGAGUGAAGUGGAAAAUCAUCGUAACAAGAAAAUAAAGUUUCUGCGAUCUGAUCGUGGAGAUGAAUAUUUGAGUUACGAGUUUGGUCUUCAAUUAAAACAAUGUGGAAUAGUUUCACAAACUCACGCCACCUGGAACACCACAAUGUAAUGGUGUGUCCGAAAGUCGUAAUCGUACUUUACUAGAUAUGGUGCGAUCUAUGAUAUCUCUUAUCAGUUUACCACUAUCAUUUUGGGGUUAUGCAUUAGAGACAGCUGCAUUCACGUUUAAUAGGGAACCAUCUAAAUCCGUUGAGACGACACCGUAUGAACUAUGGUUUAGCAGUAAACCUAAGCUGUCGUUUCUUAAAGUUUGGAGUUGCGAUGCUUAUAUGAAAAAGGUUUUGAACUUGAUAAGCUCGAACCCAAAUCGGAGAAGUGCGUCUUCAUAGAAUACCCAAAGGAAACUGUUGGGUACACCUUCUAUCACAGAUCUGAAGGCAAAACAUUCGUUGCCAAGAAUGGAUCCUUUCUAGAGAAGAAGUUUCUCUCGAAAGAAGUGAGUGGGAGGAAAGUAGAACUUGAUGAGGUAACUGUACCUGCUCCCUUAUUGGAAAUUAGUUCAUCACAGAAAUCUGUUCCUGUGACUACUACACCAAUUAGUGAGGAAGUUAAUGAUGAUGAUCAUGAAACUUCAGAUUAAGUUACUACAGAACCUCGUAGGUCUUACAGAGUAAGAUCCGCACCAUAGUGGUACGGUAAUCCUGUUCUGGAAGUUAUGUUAGUAGACCAUGACGAACCUACGAACUAUGAAGAAGCGAUGGUGAGCCCAGAUUCCGCAAAAUGGCUUGAGGCCAUGAGAUCUGAGAUAAGAUCCAUGUAUGAAAACAAAGUAUGGACUUUGAUUAACUUGCCCAAUGAUCGGCGAGACAUUGAGAUUAAAUGGAUCUUCAAGAGGAAGACGGACGCUGAUAGUGUCACUAUCUACAAAGCUAGAAUUAUCGCAAAAGGUUUUCGACAAGUUCAAGAUGUUGACUACGAUGAGAGUUUUUCACUCAUAUCUAUGCUUAAGUCUGUCUGAAUCAUGUUAGCAAUUGCCGCAUUUUAUAAAAUCUGGCAAAUGGAUAAACAAAACUGCAUUCCUUAAUGGUUUUCUUAAAGAAGAGUUGUAUAUGAUGCAACCAGAAGGUUUUGUCAAUCCUAAAGAUGCUAACAAAGUGUGCAAGCUCCAGCAAUCCAUCAAUGGACUGGUGCAAGUAUCUCGGAGUUGGAAUAUACGCUUUGAUGAGUUGAUCAAAGCAUAUGGUUUUAUACAGACUUUUGAAGAAGCCUGUAUUUACAAGAAAGUGAGUGGGAGCUCUGUAGCAUUUCUAAUAUUAUAUGUGGAUGACAUAUUGUUCAUUGGAAAUGAUAUGGAAAUUCUGGAUAGCAUGAAAGGAUACUUGAAUAAGAGUUUUUCAAAGCAAGACCUCGGUGAAGCUGCUUACACAUUGAGCAUCAAGAUCUAUAUAGAUAGAUCAAGACGCUUGAUAAGAUUUUUCAAUGAGUACAUACCUUGAUAAAUUUUUGAAAUAGUUCAAAAUGGAACAGUCAAAGAAGGAGUUCUUGCCUGUGUUACAAGGUGUGAAGUUGAGUAAGACUCAAGACCCCACCAUUGCAGAAAAUAGAAAGAGAAUGAAAAGUCAUUCCCUAUGCCUCAGUCAUAGGUUCUAUAAAGUAUGCUAUGCUGUGAACCAGACCUAUUGUAUACCUUGCUCUGUGUUUGGCAAAGGAAUACAAUUUUGAUCUAAUAGUAGAUCACUGGACAUGGGUCAAGAAUAUCCUUAGUGAAAACUAAGGAAAUAUUUCUCGAUUAUGGAGGUGAUAAAAGAGCCCGUCGUAAAGAGUUACAUUGGUGCAAGCUUUUACACUGAUCCAGAUGACUCUAAGUAUCAAUCUGGAUACAUAUUGAAAGUGGGAGCAAUUAGCUAGAGUAGCUUCGUGCAGAGCAUUGUAGACAUAGAAUAUUUGCAAAAUACAUAUGGCUCUGAAUAUGACAGACCCUUUGACUAAGCUUCUCUCACGAGCAAAACAUGAUCACACCUUAGUACUCUUUGGGUGUUAAUCACAUAAGCAAUGUGAACUAGAUUAUUGACUCUAGUAAACCCUUUGGGUGUUGGUCACAUGACGAUGUGAACUAUGGGUGUUAAUCAUAUAUAGAUAUGAAUAUUGGUGUUAAAUCACAUGGCGAUGUAAACUAGAUUAUUGACUCUAGUGCAAGUGGGAGACUGAAGGAAAUAUGCCCUAGAGCCAAUAAUAAAGUUAUUAUUUAUUUCCUUAUUUCAUGAUAAAUGUUUAUUAUUCAUGCUAGAAUCGUAUUAACCGGAAACAUGAUACAUGUGUGAAUACAUAGACAAACAUAUAGUCACUAGUAUGCCUCUACAUGACUAGCUCAUUAGUCAAAGAUGGUUAUGUUUCCUAACCAUAGACAUGUAUUGUCAUUUGAUUAAUGGGAUCACAUCAUUAGGACAAUGAUGUGAUUGACAUGACCCAUUCCGUUAGCAUAGCACUUGAUCGUUUAGUAUGUUGCUAUUGCUUUCUUCAUGACUUAUACAUGUUCCUGUAACUAUAAGAGUAUGCAACUCCCGUUUAUCGGAGGAACACUUUGGGUGCUACCAAACGUCACAACGUAACUGGGUGAUUAUAAAGGAGUACUACAGGUGUCUCCAAAGGUACUUGUUGGGUUGGCGUAUUUCGAGAUUAGGUUUUGUCACUCCGAUUGUCGGAGAGGUAUCUCUGGGCCCUCUCGGUAAUGCACAUCACUAUAAGGCUUGCAAGCAAUGUGACUAAUGAGUUAGUUGUGGGAUGAUGCAUUACGUAAUGAGUAAAGAGACUUGCCGGUAACGAUAUUGAACUAGGUAUUGGAUACCGACGAUCGAAUCUCGGGCAAGUAACAUACCGAUGACAAAGGGAACAACAUAUGUUGUUAUGCGGUUUGACCGAUAAAGAUCUUCGUAGAAUAUGUGGGAGCCAAUAUGAGCAUCCAGGUUCCUCUAUUGGUUAUUGACCGAGAAUAGUUCUAGGUCAUGUCUACAUUGUUCUCGAACCCGUAGGGUCCGCACGCUUAGGGUUUCGAUGACAGUUAUAUUAUGAGUUUAUGAGUUUUGAUGUACCGAAGGAGUUCGGAGUCCCGGAUGAGAUCGGGGACAUGACGAGGAGUCUCAAAACGGUCGAGACGUAAAGAUCGAUAUAUUGGACGACUAUAUUCGGAGUUCGGAAAGGUUCCGAGUGAUUCGGGUAUUUAUCGGAGUACCAGACAGUUACGGGAAUUCGCCGGGGAGAAGUAUUGGGCCUUAUUGGGCCAUACGGGAAAGAGAGAGGGGCUGCCUAGGGCAGGCCGCGCGCCCCCCCAAGGCCUAGUCCGAAUUGGACUAGGGGGAGGGGCCGCACCCCCCCUUCCUUCCCUUCUCUCUUCCCCUUCCUUCUCUCCUACUCCUACUAGGAAAGGAGGAGUCCUACUCCCGGUGGGAGUAGGACUCCCCCGUUGGGCGCUCCUCCUCCUCCUUGGCCGGCCCUCCCCUUCCUCCUUUAUAUACGGGGGCAGGGGGGCACCCCAUGACACACAAGUUGAUCUACGGAUCGUUCCUUAGCCGUGUGCGGUGCCCCCCUCCACCAUAUUCCACCUCGGUCAUAUCGUUGCGGAGUUUAGGCGAAGCCCUGCGCCGGUAGAGCAUCAUUAUCGUCACCAUGCCGUCGUGCUGACGGAACUCAUCCCCGACACUUUGCUGGAUCGGAGUCCGGGGAUCGUCAUCGAGCUGAAUGUGUGCUGAACUCGGAGGUGCCGUACGUUCGGUACUUGGAUCGGUCAGAUCGUGAAGACGUACGACUACAUCAACCACGUUGUCAUAACGCUUCCGCUUACGGUCUACGAGGGUACGUGGACUACACUCUCCCCUCUGGUUGCUAUGCCAUCACCAUGAUCUUGCGUGUGCGUAGGAAUUUUUUUGAAAUUACUACGUUCCCUAACAGCUAGUACUAUUAACUUUUGUGUGCGUAAAUCACAGCUUCCUCUGCAGACCCGGAACCAUUUAGGUGACUUUUUCCAAACCCUGCCAAGCAAAGAAAAUGAUUACUUGAUAUGAGGAAAUGAAAGGAAGUUGCCGAUAUGAUGCGAUAAUGAUUGAACUUACUUCUGGAGCAUUGCAGUCAUGUCUACAUACUCCUGGGGCUCUUUACGUCUCGAGUCUAAGGCAUUUACUACUCCCCUGUCAAGCUUAAUCUCUAGCAGAAUAAACUGGAACUUGCGCACGCAUAACUCAUCAAUUACAUUACUUAACCUCAAGUAAGCGAAACCGAAUAUGCACAAUACAGUAACACUCACUUGAAGUUGUAAGGAAAGAUUAUUUUCCCUUUGUUUUGAUGUCGAAGGAACGAUUUUAGCAAGUUUUCUCAGUAAGUUUGGCUCUCUCUUUUACCAACCAUUCAUUUACGGUAUUUGGGCUAAUGAACCAAAUGUAAUAGAUUUGUCCUUGUUUGCAUUCGAUGAUAUUCAAUCUGCAUACUAUAGUGAGGAUAAUUAUAUAUACAUGCAAUGAAGGAGCUGAGCUAGAGACUUAAUUAUAGAAGUAAUACUUACAGACAGUAGCAAGUCAUGAGUUGUUUGUCGAUGGCCUGUUGAUUGAAUAACUGAAAUAUUUCCACAAAUUCAACGGGCAGCAGGUCGACUCCAAUGAGGUCGUGCUCUUCUUUAAUUGCUAGCAACAUACUAUCGGUCCCAGACUUCAUGCAGGUAUCCAUGUACCAUUCAUGCAAUCUUCGCAUCAUCAUUGUUAGAGGAGGAUGAUCAGGUUUCACGAGAGGCUUCCCGUGCUCGUAUCUGAAGAUCUCUACUACCUCUAACGGUUUGAACUGUACAUCACCGCCCAGGUAAUCACCAAGAUUGGUACCGGGUAGUCACUAGUAGAAAAAGGGCCUAAUGUUUAGCCCUUUAGUCCCGGUUUGUAAAUGAACUGGCACUAAUGUGACCAUUAGUCCCGGUUCGAACGGUUUUGCAUUAGUGCCGGUUCAUUUCUGACAUAUAUAUAGUCCCGUUCUAUAUCACAAACCGGGACUAAAGGGGUGGUGGCAGGCUGGCGUCAGGCCGCGGCCCCGCAAGCCCCUUCAGUCCCGGUUUGUGACACAAACCGGGACUAAAGAGCCAACCUAUAGUCCCAGUUUGUAUCACAAACCGGGACUAAAGGCGUCUAACCUUUAGUCCCGGUUGGAGAAACAAACCGGGAGUAUAGGGCAAUUUUCAAACUCCCCCCCCCCAUUGCCUUUUCUGUUUUGAAAAGAAACCAAAAGAAAAUGAUAAAAACUUUGAAAAUUAAAAUCCUUUGAGAUGUAGUUAUGUUACUACAUCUAGUAGUUAGGGAAAUUUAAAAACAUAUAUUUCGAUAUGUUUUGCAAAAAAGUGUUACGAAAAGGUAAAACGACCAUAUCUUUUGCAUACGAUGUCAAAAAAACACGCAUAAUAUAUCAAAAAAAUCUGCAUGAAAGGAAAAAAAUAUAUGGUCAAAUUUAAGUUUUAACUAUGGUCAAACUAUGGUCAAAGUACUUAUUCAUGAAAUAUUAGUGUUAAUAAAUAAUUAUUUUAGUUUUUUUAAUUUUGGUCAAACUAUGGUUAAACUAUGGUCAAAUCUGGUCAAACUGUGGUCAAACUAUGGUCAAACUACUUAUUCAAGAAAUAUUAGUGUUACUAAAUAAUUAUUAUUUUUUAGAAUAAUAGUAUCAAACUCAAACGGUGAAACGUGUGAUUUCAUGCUCAAGCUAAACUCCUGAGGGUUAAUAGGAUUGACAGCUUACUACUGUGAAGUAAACAACAAGUGUAGACUUGGAAACAAGGGGUAAUAGAACUCAGAAGUUAAGCGUGCUCAGGAUGGAGUAGUGAGAGGAUGGGUGACCGGCCGGGACGUUAGACAAUUUGAAAUGAUGAAGGGACUAAAUCAUCAAAUAAUUCAGAAAUUUGAAAAAAUAAAAAUCAAUCUUUUUUAAAAUAAAAUCCUUUAGUCCCGGUUGGUGUUACCAACCGGUAAGGUCCCCCAGUCCACCGUGUGGGCUCGUCCCACGUGGUGGGCCUUUGGCCGUGGUUCGUGUUGAACCGAGACUAAAGAGGGGGGUACCUUUAGCCCCCACCUUUAGUGCAGGUUAUAGAACCGACACGAAAGGUCUUUACGAACCGGUACUAAAGGUCGUUUUUCUACUAGUGAGUAGCCCGAGAUGAUUACCGAUGAUAUCGCUAGACACCUUGAGCGGGGGCUCGAUUGCUUCGCCAGUUCGUGAAGCUAGGGAAUUGUUUCCCCAAUUCUUCGCUAAUCUUGCAUGACUAGAAGUACUUCCCGACCGCCGCACUUCAUCAUAUGUCUUUUUAAUACAUCGCUCAUAGUUGGAAUCCGGCAGAGGCGGUGGUGGUCGCUUAAGGGCAUGCAGAGUGCGCUUUGCUUUCACCGGAUCUAUUGUUUCCUUCGGAGGUGGAGGUUUCCGUGCAAAAUGGUCCUGCACUUUGGCAGCACUGAUGUCCGUGUUUUCCUCUUCGGUCCUCUCAUAUGGUAACUUUUCCGUAGCCUUGAGGUUUGGACCGUAUUUGAAUUUCAUCCCGCCUCUGCUUGUACUGCUAGCCACAGGAGCGGUGGCGUCUUCUUCCGUCGUUGCUGAUGUGGCGGAGUCCGCUGACACGCCGGAGGAGGCAAAGUACUGCCCUGACACUCCGGAGGAGGCGGAGUGCCCUGACGAGGCGGAGGAGGAGGCAGAGUGCCCUAACUCACCGAAGGAGGAGGAGGAGGCGUCCAGUUUGAAAGCUUGAUGUACUCCUUUCUCCAUAGAUAGGUACUCCUUAAAGCAUUUUCCAGAUGAAUCUUCCUUUCACCUAUAGGCUAGUCAAGCUCCAGCUCCUCAAAUCCCUCCAUUAUUUCAUCCACUAUCACAACAGCAUAGCCAUGUGGAAUCGAACAAGAAUGAAAAGUUCCCUCAGCUUGAGGAGGUAUAACAGAGCUGACCGCCGCCUUCAAGGUCAGGUUCUGGCAUUUGUCAUUUGCUCGCAAUGUUCAGCCUCCGUGAUACUAUCCACGGGGUAGCGAGGAGCCAUGAAAUCAGGCUAAACGGGCUCUGUGGAAGCCACGCUGCUUCUCCACUAAGAUGGUUGGGUAGCUUCUGGAGCAGCGUCCAAGCAAGGAUCCUCUAGCUUUGCUAAUCUUGCAGUGAGCCUCUGCAUUUCGGUUGCUUCCGCAUUCCUCUUUCUCUCUCGGCUUCUAUAACCACCGAUGUCAGGAAACCUAUGCACCCACGGAACGGAGCCUGGUGUGUCUCGUGUUCGUCCAAGGUGCUCAGGAUUCUCAAGGGCCUCUGUCAUCUCGUCCUUCUCUCUGUCGGGAAUGAACGUCCCUUCCUGCGCUGCCUUGAUUGCUUCCUGAAGCUUCUUGAUGGGUAUUGCAAGUUGCUCAUCUGUCCAAACACACAUCCCUAUUUCUGGGUCCGAAGUUCCCCCAACCACGAAGAACAAAGUCCUUGAACGAUCUCGCCAGUAGAAUGUCGCUGGUUGGACCCCCUUAGCAUGCAGGUCUUGCUCAGCUUUGUCCCACAAUGGUCGGGCUUCUUAGUAGCCACCUGACUUUGUGUGAUGGUGAUACUUCUACUUUGCAACAUUUUUCUUGUUUCUUAGUGACCUUUUCUUACCCGUCUCCGAUUUCUUGUAGGCCACAAAUAUGGGCCAGUGAUCUCUUAUCUUCUCAUGUCGGCCGAUGAAUUCUCGAGUCUUCUGUUUGUCAACAAACUUUGUGUUCAACUCUUUCUUCUAGUUCAUGAAUAGUUCCGCCAUCUUAUUAAGAGAAAAUGCCUUGACAUUUCGCUCUAUAAUUGGGUUAUUUGGCUUCUCCUCAAGCGGUAGGCUGAAAUCUGUCAUCAGCGAGGUCCGAACAUCAUCUUUCUGUCUAUCCUGGACAUAAUAAACUUCAGGGUCAUCCUUAUUCUUAUUCCAUUGCUGGAUGCUGAUCGGGACGCUGUUCCUAACAACUCUGCACUGAUGUAGAAAUGCGUCCUUGGUCCGCUUGGGAGCAAUCGGUUAGCCAUUUUGAGCGACUUCUGUGAUCCUGAACCUUUCAUCCUAGCGCAAACUUUUCUUUGGGCCUCUUCUCCUUACCUAAGUUUGGCUCGAUCUGGAAGGCUAAAAGAAUAGGUCACCGGAGCCGUCGUGAUGAUCUCCUUCCUCCGCCAUUCAAUCACCGGAGCCGCAUGAUCUCCUUCCUCCUCCAUUGAAGGAUUAGGGGAGCCAUCAUCCUCUCCUUCCUGACCAUCGUUAUCAUUGAGAAACAACAAGAGAUCACCUCCGGUGAGGAUUAUAUCCGCAACAACUGUUCUUGUUCUAAGUCUCUUUCCAUAGUUUCUGAAAAUAUUACAAUAUGGCAAUAUACAAACAUGAAAGAUGGAUUACUGGAAAACAUAGACCUAGCUAAUCACAACAAGGAAUCAUAUGCAUAUAUGAGCAAUGGAUUAGUUGCGGAUCGCCUCUCUCAUGCAUGUCCGACGUCUCCCCUCAUCGAAGUUAUCGGGGUUAUACUUUCAGGAGAGGACACUUUGCAAAAAAUAAUCGCUAUGCAAGAGACCAAACUAUCCAUGCAUUCUACCCCAUAGACCUAUGCUGCCAACGAUAGAUCGACAAUGACGCUCUUUCUUCUAGGGUUUGGGUGGUCUCGAUAGUUGGUCGGGCGAGCAGNNNNNNNNNNNNNNNNNNNNNNNNNNNNNNNNNNNNNNNNNNNNNNNNNNNNNNNNNNNNNNNNNNNNNNNNNNNNNNNNNNNNNNNNNNNNNNNNNNNNNNNNNNNNNNNNNNNNNNNNNNNNNNNNNNNNNNNNNNNNNNNNNNNNNNNNNNNNNNNNNNNNNNNNNNNNNNNNNNNNNNNNNNNNNNNNNNNNNNNNNNNNNNNNNNNNNNNNNNNNNNNNNNNNNNNNNNNNNNNNNNNNNNNNNNNNNNNNNNNNNNNNNNNNNNNNNNNNNNNNNNNNNNNNNNNNNNNNNNNNNNNNNNNNNNNNNNNNNNNNNNNNNNNNNNNNNNNNNNNNNNNNNNNNNNNNNNNNNNNNNNNNNNNNNNNNNNNNNNNNNNNNNNNNNNNNNNNNNNNNNNNNNNNNNNNNNNNNNNNNNNNNNNNNNNNNNNNNNNNNNNNNNNNNNNNNNNNNNNNNNNNNNNNNNNNNNNNNNNNNNNNNNNNNNNNNNNNNNNNNNNNNNNNNNNNNNNNNNNNNNNNNNNNNNNNNNNNNNNNNCCCCUUAUGUUGAAGUUAUCGGGGAGGAGUAAAUUUUAACUUAGUGAGUCUUUUAGUUAACUCAUUUUGAAUAUAUGAUCAAUUUAACUUAGUAACUUAGUAACUUGUUAAAUUUUAACUAAUUUCCAUGAACAAAAAAAUAUUCUAUGAACAAAAAAACAAUGGAAAUAUGUUCACAUGAGCUAAAGAUUGGUGGGAUCGGCAUCGGGGCAGGGAGCUACGGCCGGCGUUAGGGGCUCGGUGUUGGGGCACGGAGCGGCUGCCGCCAUCUGGGGCUCGUUGUCGGGGUAGGGACCGGCGACUGGCGUCGGGGGCUCGACGUCGCGGCAGGGACAGUGUCGGGGGCGGCGAGGAGGAAUUACAGAAAAAAUUUGACCAAGUUUUCAUACAAUCAAAGAACUCUAUAUAUCAUCAUCAUCUAUAAUCACAAUCAAAGAACUCUAUGUAUCGUCAUCAUCAUAUCAUCUACAUAAAAAUUUAAAGAAAAAAUAAUCUAUAUAUCAACAUAAUGAAAAUUAUCUAACAUAAUAUCAUCAUAUAUAUAUCAUCAUAUCAUCUAUAUAUAUAUAUAUAUAUCAUCAUUUCAUCAAAUUAUCUAACAUAAUGAACUAUAUAUCAUAACAUAUCAUCAUCAUCAAAGAACUAUAUAUAUAUCAUAUCAUCAUUUCAUCAAAUAACAAAUAUCUUGUAUAUACUCCCUCCGUUCCUUAAUGUGAGGUGUAUUAUUUUUGGCACGGUGACCAAGGCACAUAAUUAUAGAGGUGUUAGGACAAAAUUAUCCUUCAAAAAUUUUUGGUUAGUGGCAAGUAAAUGAGUGAGUCAAGGAAAGUAAGAGAUACAUGCAAUCGAGAGAGAGAUAGUUUCCUUCCUUGAUACAAGAAGAGAUACAAGCAAUCAGGAGAAAUAUACUUUCCUUUUUUCUCGAGGGCUAAAAAGGGAAUUACCAGGAUUUAGAAGAAAUACAUCUUACAUUAUGGAAUUUUAUCAAAAAAACAAAUGCACCUUAUAUAAAGGAACGGAGGGAGUAUAUAUAUAUAUAUAUCAUCAAACAACUAUAUAUAUAUAUAUCAUCAAACAACUAUAUGUAUCAUCAUAUAUAAUGAGCAGAGGGGCGGAGAGCUCACUGGGAGCGGCGAUGAGGAGGCGGGCCACGUCGAUGAGGGCGGCGACGUCGGGGCAAGGGCGAUGGCGACGGCGACGUUAGGGCAAAGGCGCGCAGCGGCGGCGACUAGGCAGGGGCGCGCAACAACGUAGGCGCAGGGGCACGCGGCGACGGCUACGAGGCAGGGGCACGUGGCGACGGCUACGAGGCAGGGGCACGCGACGAUGACUACGAGGCAGGGGCACGUGGCGACGACUACGAGGCAGGGGCGCACGACCACGUCGUGGCAAGGGCGCGUGGCGACGGCGACGAGCCAGGGGCGCGCGGUGACGGCGAUGAGUAGGCAAAGCACAGUGAUAGGAGAGGGGGACGACGUCGGGGCAGGGAGCAGUGGCUGGCGUCGGGGCUGGGACGGAGACGGUGAUGGCGACGAGCAGCGGGUAGAGCAGCAGCCUGGCGGCGUCGGGUCGCAGGGCAUCAGCGUCGGGGGGAGAAUGUGAGGAAUUGGGGAAAAUCUGAAUUGUUGGCUUAUAUAUCCCCACCCUUUAGACCCGGCUGAUGGCACCAAUCGGGACCAAUGCACACCUUUUCAUCAGCCCAGAGUGCGGGAAGCAGAGAUCUUUACUCCCGAUUGGUGCCACCAACUGGGACGAAAGGUGGGCAUUGGUCCCGGUUGGUACCACCAACCGGGACGAAAGGUCUGCGGCUGACACGGCGUCGGGCGGGUGGAUGUUUAGUCUCAUCUCGCUAGUUGAGAGGCGUCGAGAGUGGUUUAUAAGUGUGGUUGUUCCAACCCUUUCGUGCUCCUCUCUUAUGCUGGCAUACGGGCCUAAACACACUCUCUCUACCUGUGGGCCUAUUGGGCCUGCUGCGGGUCUGCAUCUUGGCCCAACUAGCGGGUUGGUUUCUAGUCGUAUGCAGACCAUAGUGGCCUAGUAGGCGCCAUUUUUGUUAAUUUGUUUUCCAGUAUUUUUGUUUUGUUUUUUGCUUUAUUUAUUUUCUUUGUUUCUACUUACAGCUAAAUACUUAAGAGCUUUUGAGUGAUUCUUCUUGCUUUAGGUCACAAAAAUUAUAUACUUACUGUUAGUGCCAUUAAUUUUCAAUUUGAAUAGUUUAAAUUUGAAUUCUUUCAAAGUUGUGUGAGUCACUAGUUUGUGAAUAACUUUACUUCAAAAUAGAUUUUUGAGUGAUUCUUUUUCCUGCUAUUUAAAUGGGUGUUUUAAUCAAAAACAUAUUUUGUUAUUUUAGUUUGCUAUUAAAGUUUCUAACAAAAAAUACUUUACGAAAAUCCUUUUUGCUAUUAAUAUUUUGAAAAAAAAUUACUUUUAUAAUUUUAGUUGCAUAAAUUUCAUAUAAUUUUAGUUUCAAAAAUACUAGAGGUUUAUAAAAGCUUUUUGGUUGAUUCUUUUUGUUGAUGAAGUAUAUUAUAGUUUAGUUUUAGUUGAUCAUAACAAAAAAAUUAAUUGAUUAUUUUUAGUUGCAGAAUUUUUUUUAUAGAUUCUUUUUAGUCAAUUCCUUUUAUUAUUAGAGUUUUAUAAAAGCUUUUUAGUUGAUUCUUUUUGCUAUUGAAGAAUAUUAUAGUUUUCUUUUAGUUGAUCAUAACAAAAUAUUUUAAUUGAUUCUUUUUUGUUCAUUCUUUUUGCUAUUAGGGCUUUAUAAAAGUUUUCUAGUUCAUUCUUUUUGUUAUUAGUUCAUUCUUUGAGCUAAAUUACCCUGAAAUUGAAAAGCACUACAAAUGAACUUUGUAAAGGUUGAAAGUUGGCAUGGUGUCAUCAUUUAAACCACAUAAGAUGUGUUGAAAUGUUGAGAGGGCUACACCAAAAACUGGAUGCACUUCGUGUACAAAAUGGACAAUCUCUUUCAAAGUAUCAGGGUUUCGAACGGAAAGUCAUCUGUUACAAAGGGAUUUCAUUUUUUGAACUUAAUUGACCUCUGGAAUUUUUGUGUGUUCAAAAUUCACCAUUCAAAUCCACAUCAUUAAUCUUGAACCCUUUCUCACUUCAUUUGGUAUUUUUCAUGCAUUUACUUAAUUUUUUGAGCUAAAUGCCCCUGAAAUUGAAAAGCACUACAAGCAAACUUUGAAAAGUUGAGAGGGUUACGGCAAAAACUAAAUGCACUUCAUGUACAAAAUGGACAAUCUUUUUGGAAGUAUCAGGGUUUCGGACGAAAACACAUCUGUUAUAAAGGGAUUUCAUUUUUUUGAACUUAUUUGAACUCCAGACUUUUUGUGUGUUCAAAAUGCACCAUUCAAAGCCACUUUAUCAACUUUGCACUCUUUCUGACUUCAUUUGGUCUUUUUCAUGCAUUUACUAAUUUUUUGAGCUAAAUGACCCUGAAAUUGAAAAGCACUACAAAUGAACUCUGAAAAGGUUGAAAGUUGGCAUGGUAUCAUCAUUUCACCCACAUAGCAUGUGCUAAAAACUUGAGAGGGUUACCGCAAAAACUGGAUGCGCUUCAUGUACAAAAUGGACAAUCUCUUUCGAAGUAUCAGGGUUUCGGACGAAAACUCAUCUGUUACCAAGGGAUUUCAUUUUUUUGAACUUAUUUGAACUCCAGGCAUUUUGUGUGUUCAAAAUGCACCAUUCAAAGCCACAUCAUCAAUUUUCAACCCUUUCUGGCUUCAUUUGUUAUUUUUCAUGCAUUUACUGAUUUUUUGAGCUAAAUGACCCUGAAAUUGAAAAGCACUACAAAUGAACUCUGAAAAGGUUGAAAGUUUGCAUAUAUCAUCAUUUCACCCACAAAGCAUGUGCUAAAAAUUUAAGGGGGUUACGGCAAAACCUGGAUGCACUUCAUGUACAAAAUGGACAAUCUCCUUCGAAGUAUCAGUGUUUCGGAUGAAAACUCAUCUAUUACAAAAGGCAUUUCAUUACUUGACAUGUAACUGUAGUGAUAUUCUAGAUCAAAGGCAUCAUCACAAUAGUUGUGCAGACAAAGUUUUCACUUUUUCUUUGCGUGUCUCCCUUACUUAUUGCACCGUAACCAUGGAUAAUCUUCAUGGUUUAACAGGGUGCUUGGGUCAACCUUGACUUUGAAGGGAGGAAUUUCAUGAAACUUUUAAUAAUCUUCAACCAUGUAUGUUUGGGCCUCCACUCCCACGAUGUCUCUUUUCCUUGAAAGAACUAUGUGGCGCUUUGGCUCAUCGUAUAUGUAUUCGCUUCGUUAUAUUUUCUUUUGCUCGGUUUGGUAGACAUGUCCUUCAAAUAGAAAACCUGCGCCACAUCAUUGCCAGGAUGAAUGGUUCGUCUGUGUACCCAAGAUUGUUCAGAUCCACUGUUUUCAUUCCCUACUGCGAGUUUACCCUGUACCAUGCGUCCUCACAGAUUGACCCAUUUGAACCGAAACAAAGGGAGCUUAAAAUCAUGUCCAUAGUCAAGUUCAGGUCCACUAUGUAACCAUAAUAUGUGUCCUUUUCCCUAUUGGUUGCUGCAUCAAAGAGGACACCACUAUUUUCGUCGGUGCUCUUUUGAUCUUGGGCGAUCAUGUGAAAUGUAUUCCAUUUAUCUCGUACCCUUUGUAAGUCAAUACAGUCGAAGAUGGUCCCCUAGCCAACGAGUACAGCUCAUCAACUUGGCCUUUGAAAUCCUUGCCUUACUUUCGACAUUGAUGGUUGGUCGGAAAAAAUCGAUGAUGUCCUAAGUACACAUUCUUCCUGCAUUUGUUCACAUAUAUACUUUCGGUGUCAUGUAAACAGUACGUGCAUGCAUGGUAUCCCUUGUUUGUUUGUUUGUCCUGAAAGGUUACUGAGAGCAGGCCAAUCAUUGAUGGUAACAAACAACAACACAUGUAGGUCCAAUUUCUCCUAGUCGUGCUCAUCCCACAAACAUACACCUUUUCCAUUCUACAACUGUAAAACUUCUUCAACUAAUGGCCGUAGGUGCACAUCAAUGUCGUUGCCGGGUUGCGUAGGGCCUUGGAUAAUCACUGGCAUCAUAAUGAACUUUCGCUUCAUGCACAACCAAGGAGGAAGGUUAUAGAUACAUAGAGUCGCGGGCGAGGUGCUAUAAUUGCUACUCUGGUCCCCAAAAGGAUUAAUACCAUCUGCGCUUAAACCAAACCAUACGUUCCUUCCGUCACCUACAAAGUCCCCCACGUUCUAUCAUUUUUUACACCACUGCGCCCUAUCAGUGGGUGCUCUCAACUUCCCGUCUUUCUUACGGUCCUCUUUGUGCCAUCACAUCCACUUGGCAUGCUCUUUGUUUCUAAAUAGAUGUUUCAACCGUGUUAUUAUAGGAGCAUACCACGUCACCUUGGCAGGAACCCUCUUCCUCGGGCGUUCGCCCUCAACAUCAUCAGGCUCAUCUUGUCUGAUCUUAUAUCGCAAUGCACCGCAUACCGGGCAUGCGUUCAAAUCCUCGUACGCACCGCGGUAGAGGAUGCAGUCAUUAGGGCAUGCAUGUAUCUUAUGCACCACCAAUCCUAGUGGGCAUAUAACCUUAUUUGCUCCGUACGUACUGUCAGGCAAUUCCUUAUCCUUUGGAAGCUUCUUCUUCAAUAUUUUCAGUAGCUUGUCAAAUCCAUUGUCAGAUACACCAUUGUUUGCCUUCCAUUGCGGCAAGUAGUACCGAGAUUUGUGUUGCCAUCUUUGCAAUUUAGGUACAAUCCUUUUUUGUGAUCCUCUAGCAUGCAAUCGAACUUCAACUUCUCCCUUUCACUUUGGUAUUGUCUCUUUGCAUCAACAAUGACCCGGCGAAGAUCAUCAUCGGGCACAUCACCUUGUUCCUCUUGAUCUUCAGCUCCCCCCAUUGCAGCAUCACCGUAUUCAGUGGGCAGAUAGUUGUAAUCAUCCUCUUCUUGUUCGUUGUCUUUCAUCAUAACCCCUCUUUCUCUGUGCUUGGUCCAAACAUUAUAGUUUGGCAUGAAACAAAUCUCAAGCAAGCAGAUGUGAAGGGUUUUCGACUCAGAGUAAGACUUCAUAUUCCCACAGAUAGGGCAUGGACAACACAUAAAUCCAUUCUGAUUCUUUGCCUUAGUCACUUCGAGAAAAUUAUGCAUGCCCUUAAUGUACUCGGAGGUGCGUCUGUCACCGUACAUCCAUUGCCGGUCAUCUGCGUGCAUUAUAUAUAAUUAAGUGUGUCAAAAACCAUUACAGAACAUCACGAAUAGAGGAGUGACCAAAUUAAUAGAAGUUCAUCAUCAUAGUAAAACCAAAUUACAGUAGUGAUCAAAUGUUCUUACUAAAAAAUAAAUACAUAAAGUUCAUACAUAGUUCUAUUGAACAACAUAUAAAUCUGUAGAGCAUCUAACUAAAACAUACAUUAAAACUAUGUAAAACAUUUAUAUGCAACAGCAAAUGCGAUCAUAAUCACAAGUAAGGUAACAAUCGAUCCAAUGGCAUAAUGAUACGAAGCCUCAGUAUGAAUGGCAUAUUUUCUAAUCUUUCUAAUCUUCAAGCGCAUUGCAUCCAUCUUGAUCGUGUGAUCAUCGAUGACAUCCGCAACGUGCAACUCCAAUUUCAUCAUCUCUUCCUUAAUUUUUUUCAAUUUUUUCUUCAAGUAAUUAUUUUCUUUCUCAACUAAAUUUAGCCUCUCGAGAAGAGGAUCGGUUGGAAUUUCGGGUUGACAUACCUCCAAGAUAAAAACAUCUAUGUCAAGUUGGUCAGCAUAAUUAUCAUAUACAGUAAAUGUAACAGAUAGUUAUAAAAGAUAAUAUAUACCACAUCCGAAUCAUAGACAUGACGAGGGCCGAUGGGUGCGGAUACCAAAACCAUCGCACUAUAUAAUAACAAACAAUAAUAAAAGUAAGAAAAUUAUACAAGUAUCUAUCUAAAUCAUACAAGUAAGAAUUUUUCUUUUUUUAAAAAGAAGAUAAGAACAAGAGGCUCACCACAGUGAUGCUGGCAACGAGAUUGGCACAGGCGGUCUACCAUAGUGAGGACGGGGACGGGACAUGACGGAUCACCAAACCUAGACAAAUCUUGAGGAAAAUGGAGUUUGACAAGGAGCUUGGGGAGGAGAAAGCUUAAGUGUGGCUCGGGAAUUUCAUCAAACACGUCAUGUGCAUAGGAGGUGAGUUAGAGCAACACACACCUCUCCCAGAGCCGGCCAAAAAAACAGAGCAGUGAGCGGACAGGGGUAUAUAUAGGCAUCUCUUUAGUCCCGGUUGGUGGCUAGAGCCGGGACAGAAGACUGAUAUUUGGUCCCGGUUCCAUCCACCAACCGGGACUAAAGAUGCUGGCCCAUGAGCGAGUCCCAUUUGUCCCUGUUCGUGUCUGGAACGGGACCAAAAAUGUCAGACGAACUGGGACCAAUGGUUCCCGAGGCCCGGCCGGCGCCCUGGCCUCAUGAACUCGAACUGAUGUACCCUUCGGUCCCAGUUCGUGAGUGAACCGGGAUUAAUGCCCUUAUCCUGACCUCAACCAAAGCCCUGUUUUCUACUAGUGGAUUAUCCUCAAAAAAAAAUAUCUGAUCAGAUUUGUUGAGUUAUAACGUGAGCAACUUUUGUACAUGCUCAUGUGUAUGAUGUGCCUACUGUUCUAACUACCGGACCUAAUAAUCUUUACUUCUAAAACGGACUUAGUAGCUUCCCGUCCACAGUUAACUUUUGCUUCACCUUCCACCAUUAUUUAUUUCAUUUGGGUUUUUUCGCCUCACCUCCCACAACUCCCUUCCACUAGAUUUUUCUCCCUCCCACUUUAUCUUUGGAAACCAAGUAAUUCAUGUAUGGUAACCAAUCUUUUAUUUGGUAGUACAAACACAAUCAAUACAAAUACAAUCACUACGCUUAUGGUAAUCAAUAUCUUGUUUGAUAACGCAAGAGUAACUUUGGAGAGUAAUCAAUCUCCUUUUUGUUGUCAAUCAAUUUCUUUAUAUUAAGCUUUGUAAUCGACCUCCUUUUCUUCCCGGGCAGUACAUAGAUCAUUCGUCGAGUAGCUCAUCCCACCAAUCGAAGAGAUCCCACUCAGAUUCUUUUUCCUAUUGACAAAGCGUACCUCUUGUUCCCGGUUUCACUUUGUUUUUUUUUAUCUUGUUGUCUCCACAUCAGCGCGCAACGCCCAAACCACAUCCUUGGCCGCAGCCGCAGAGCACAUGACCCUCGCCCUAGCUCCACACUUUCUUCCUUCUUAACCGGCGAUUUAGGGGUUUGAUGAUUUACCCCAGCAUUGUCUCAAUGGCUAAUGGCCAGGCCCACCCGUCAAUCUCGAGGGGGGUGGGGGGGGGGGGGCAAAUCAUCAAAGUUAGAAGUAAAGUGUGGGUUAAGAUCGAAUUUUUCGGUUCGACCUGUCACAGCUCGCCCAUUCCCCUUCCAAGCUAGGACCAAUCUUCUUGGUCCCCGCAUUAUCCUAUCCUCCCUCUAUGGCAUCCGCCAUGGCGCGCUCCACAUUGUCGAUAUCCAGGUUUCAAUGAGGCAGCGAUUUCAAGCGUUGGGACUAUAGAUCUAGGCCUUCUGGCGCCGCAAUUAUAUGCUGCCCGUCGGCUCUGGCGGCAACAAAUCACGAUGGCUGUGGCGAGCGUGCGUUCAAUGAAGCAGAUGUAGUCCUAAUCCUUUCCUUCGAAGUCAUCCUCCUAUCCCAUUCGUGGAGCCCUCACAACCUCUACCUCCUCCGCCAUCGAGCUCUGCCGCCCGGUUUCGUAUCUCUCAUUUUUGCUUUGUUGCAUUAUUGAAUUGGUUAUGAAUUUGUACUAUUUGAUCGAUGCAAAUGGACUUGCAUGAAUAUGAGGGUUUUGAAAUAAGGAGUGUGGUUAUCUAGUGGUACUUUUGAGGGGUUGUCAUGUGCUCUCUGAGGUCACGCGCCUUAAAAGGCAGAUCAACAAAACUUUAUGCUAUUUGCUGGUCAAAAAAAAAACUUCGGUCUAAUAUGACUUUGCUAUUUGUUGGUGUGUUUAUAUAUGCUUGCAUUAUUGUUGAUUGUGUGCAUCCUAGCUAUAUAAAGGCUACAUGUGUGCUCAUUUGUUUGUACCCACUUGAUGAUUGAUCUUGAGCUUACAAAAUCCAACCUUUAUCGAAAACAGUAAAUUACCAAUUGUACUGUUAAUUUUGGGAAAAAGCUGGUAGGCCAAAGUGAGAUAUUGUGAACAAAAAUUACUCUUUGCUAUUAUGUACCUCGCCAUGGUAACAUACCGGCGAUAAAAAAAUACACCUAGAAUACCUCGAUAACAAGUUUUUAACAUUGUUCUUAAAUUAUAAGUGAUACAAACAAUUAUACCAGCAUCAUAAUUAUAAUAAAUGGUACAAAUAAUGAUACAUGCAUUGUUUUGUUUACAAAGUCCAUUGUUGGAAUAAAUAAUACAAACAAUUAUAUGUGCCAAACUCACACAUAUUAUCAAUAGUAUCCAGCAUAGCCAUAGAAUGUCAUGGUUACUAUUUGGUAAAUUUGAGAGCCCAAAAGUUUCCAAAAAUGUAAGAGGACUGGAAGGUGCCGCUAAAACCUGAUUCCCUAGCCAGCUUAAUAAACUCUUGCUCAGUUCUCUCCUUCCCUCCCUCGGAGUUAUUUAACAUCAUCACAUCGAGAAUCUAGAGAUUCUGUGCUGCCAUUGUCACCUCUGGAGUUGCCGGCAAGACAAACUCAACAGCGGUCAGCCGCCCCUUGUCUGACAAAGCUUGAUGGCAAUUUUUUAGAACCUUUAUGCAGUCAUUGUCAUCCAAAAUAUGGAGUACCGUCUGUAUGUACAUUCAAGAAAUAUUCAGUAUCUAGAAUAUGUUAUGUAACAUUAAACCUACUUUGCUCAAAGUGUAGGUUUAAGUCUGCUUUGCAUUCUCAAAUAUUUAGGGCAUUUAUUUAGCACAACAAAAUGUUCUUUGUUUGUCACCACGAAAACAUUGCAGGUUCACUAUUGUAGACGGACGUUCAAUUUAAUUUUGGCAUGUUUGAAUUGUUGAGUUGUGGUUCGUUUUGCUUUGUUGCAGUGUUUCUAUAUGAUCGAUGUGCAUGAAUUUCCACGGAAUUGAGGGUUUUGAUAUGAGGAUUCUGAUUGUCCCGCAGGACUUUUGAGGGGUUGUCUGGCACUGUCCAGCAUUGCACCGCGGAGAAAAUCUUGGUAAGAGAAACAUGGAGUUCAAUUACUUCUGCACAAGGCCAGCCACCUUGAUUGCUUGGACCCUAGAUAAAUACUUGUUAGCUAUAAUCUUGACUUAGCGGUGCGUGGGUGGCGGCCGAGCUGUUAUGCUGCUGCAUGCAUGGUUGUUAGCUGCACAGCCCGGUCUUCUUGAUCGUAGAGAGAUUCCAGUGAGUAGUUGGUGCAUGUGUUAGUGGUCUAAUGUGGUGGCUGGUUAGGCUAGUGCGUGCGUGUGUGGCGGGCCGCGUGUGUACUAGUACUUAAGAGCAUCUCUAGCAGACCCCUUCAACCGCAAAACUGAACGCGGCUGAGUAGACCCCUUAAAUUUAGACUGUAAAAACGAAUAUUCACAUAUAUUCUUCUCCACUUCUUCUUCCUCUCGCCCGUGUCCACGGCUAGCUAGCUUGCUCCUACGAAGCCGAUAGACAAAUAUGAAAUACGAUGCCGCCGGCCUCCCGAACGACUCGCACUAAGCGCCCCAGCGUCAAAACGUCGCCUUCGCUGCUUGAAUCAGUCGAGAAGCUGGCUAGCGUCGGCGUGGAAUGGAUCCACGAGCUAGCUAGCUGGCUGGGUAAUCGAUCGACCCAGGAGCUGGCUAGUUAGCUCCCGUCGGCGUGGCCAAUCGAUCCAGCCCGUGGCCAACGGAUUACGUAUCCGCCGCAUCUCGCAUCGAUUCAGCUGGAGACGGGCCGCAGGCGCGGCGGCCGGGCGGCGGUGAGCUUCAACUUGUUGGCGCGGGCUGAGAUUUCCUAACUGCCAACGUUGACCGCUAUUCAGUGCCCUGGCAAAAUUGCCUCGAAACUGAAGAUAUGAGGAUCUCGCGUUUGUGUUCACGGGGCCCGUAAAUUUUUUUUACGGGUCGGACGAUUUUAAAGGAUCUGUUCGGUCCAUUUUUCCAACUGAAACGGUAAAAAAAACGGUUAUUUUGCGGGUUCGACUACUUAUUGUUAGCUUAAUCUUGAUCAUUUGUAUCUGCAUAUUAGUUUUAGCCAUGCAUGUAGCAUAGGUUAGGGAGUCCUUGUCCGGCGACGUCUCCGGCGAGCAUGCAAGGAAGGCGAGGUGCUAGCUACCGUGUGAUGCGGCGUGCAAGGUGUGAUGCCGUGGUGCUCUGGGAUGCAGCGCUGCCGUGAGAAGCGGCGAGCAGGCGUGUGACGGAUGGAAUGGCUGGACAAAACAGUAGAGAAAAUGGGUAAGGCGUCCUAGUUUGUUAGGAUGGCUGAGUCGUUAGUCACGUGGCCGUUGAGGAGGCUACCAAGGUGCUGAACUGGCCGAGUGAUUCGGUCAAGCAGCUAGUGAUUAGCAUCAUGCAUGGGUUAGUUGGUUAGUGGCCGGGUAGGACGGUCAGCCUAGUGGGUGUGUGCGUGAGUUAGUGGCUUGGUGUGGAGUCAUUUGUACAGACUAUUUAAGUUGAUCAGAUGAAUGGAAGAGAAAAGGCCGAGAGGGCUGUGAAGAAAAGAUGUAGCCAGUGUAUUCAUCAAGGAGAGAGCGCCCGGGCAAAGCUAGAGGCUGGUCUUCUCCUUGGUGUAUGCGUGCGUGUGCGUGUAGUGUUUUCACCAUGUGUGUGUGUUCUUGAGAGGAAGUACAAGAGAAAUGAUACAGAUUGAGGGAAGAGAAAGCUGUGCGAGGCAGCCAAGAGGAAGAAGAAGCGGCGCUGCGAGGAGGCGGCGCCAACACUUAUACGGGGUUUGCUAGAGAUGCUCUAAGAGUUGUGCCUGUGUGCCGAGGGGGCAGAGCAAAGAGUAACUCGGAGAAACAUUGUAAUCUCCGGUGGUGUCUCUCGCGUGUGUGUGCUCACCAUGAGGAAUAGAAGCUGGAGUUAGCCUCAUUGGAACUAUCUCACCGGAGAUCACAAUUAUCUCACAGGAAAGCAUAGACGAAAGAAGUCAACAAUAGAAAAUGAUACAAAUAUGAUCUCAAUGUACAGUUGCAACAUCCAUGCAAACAAAGAGAAUACAGUUGCAUUACAAAAACAAGGAAACACAAAAGAGUUGAGUGAUGGGUGUUUGGUUUUGCUGGACAACAACAUUUUUUUACCUGAUCCCUAAUGAACUGGUCAGAGAAAGAUUGUCGCCGAUGCUUUUUCUAGUAGAAACUAAUCCAUUGAACUGAGGAAACUGAUGGUAUUCCUACUGAGUUGAAAGUUCCGCGGGUACGUACGCACAGCACGUACACACAUGUGUGUUGAUCAUUUGAUCUAUAGGCUUUAGUACUUAAAGUUAAAUCGUUGAGUUUACGGGACGCUAAUGAUGGUGCGUACGUCUAGGAGAUAAGAAUAAGCAAUUUGUGUAUACGCUAACAAACAAAAGUACAGCCCUUCCAAUUAAGAUAUGCAUUCCCAGGCGUUCUAUUUGGUAGGCCGACUUGGAUGAUGAUGCCUGGAAAGGACACUCCAGGCCGGGAGGCAACCCAAACAGUCAGAUAGGCCUCAAAGAUUAUAACAAGUAUAAUUCCUUGAGAAUAUUACAAUGAAGUGGUUGAAUGUUGAAUUAUUAAUUGAUGCAAUUUAAUAAUACAAUAUAGGAUAAUCCACUACAUUGACACUCAUUCGGGAUUGGUACAUAAGUUGGGCAUGUGGUUUUAGGUCUUCAAGUUGAGUGAUGAAACAUGUGUUAUAGUAUGUUGUAAAGUCUGUAUUUUUAGAUUCAUCAUCGAAUGAUGCGAAACUACUAAUUUUAUGCAAUUUACACAUAUUUCGCUAGUCAAACUGAAUGCCUAAAAACCCGUGCCUGGCUUAUAUUCCCAUGGAGGAUGUUAUAUAUGAUGUACGCGAUGUUUUGCAUAUAUAAUAUAUAGUAUUCUUCAUUGUACUAUAUUCACUAAUGCUUAUCUGGACACAAUCUCCUCCAAUUUUGAGAAAAUACGUGGUAUGUGUUAUUGUUUUCAUUUGCUCCAUUUUUCAUCCCCAGGGGUGAACUUUGCAUGGAGUCUCCAUGAGUACUAUAUUCAACUAAUUAUUUUGUUUUAUAUCCGUAUACUGCGUUCCCCACCAAAUGAAGUUUAGGUGAACCCAGGAAGAGUGUGGAAGUAUGGCAGAAACUGAAACACAGAAAAGCGCGCGCGCACACACACACAGAGAGAUAUUUAUGCAUGCAAAAAUGCUUCCUAGAACUCGCACGCAAAGCUUAAGCAUAGAUGAAAAUAGGAGAGUGGGAGAUAGAAAGAGUUUGUUAGCAGCCCACGCCAACUCCUGGUCCUUCUGCAUAGGUUCAAACAUUUUCGGUGCACAUUGGAGAGCCCACUACAAGCAGAGUGCCCAAUGUAUCCGAAAACACCAGCAUGAGGAGACCGUGACACUUUCAUGAUGAUCGUCGCAAUGUCCCUUUGGAUGCGAAAGAAGUCAUCUCUAAGUUUAUAAUCCGCUUCUCCAUGAGAUUCUAGCCACUUGUGGAUAUGAUCAUCAUUUCUUCUUCUCAUGCGAAGCUUUUGGUGAUCCGUGUUGAACUGAAUCAUGAGAUGAACGAUGUAGAAUCCAUCCUUUUUGCUUGGUUUUGGGACAUGGAUGCAGGAGAAAUUAGUUUUAUGCGCGAAACCCAUCUUCUUGUUCCUUUGUUUCCUGAUCUGCAUGUGGCCACCUCUAAUGCUGAAGCCUUGGAGAGCAUCAUCUAGAAUAUUCAUUAUAUGGGUGUAGUCUUUUUUCUCGUAGUCUCUGGAAGGGUCAAAAUAGACGGCGUGGGAGACUUGCGGGUAAAGAACGAUAAGGACGGCGCGCCCGUUGCUGCGGGGAAAAGACACCUCAAAUUAUUCCCCAUAUGAGAGAGAAGGAAUGAUUGAAAUGUAAGAAGGGGUUGUCCGGAACUGACUUACUUUGGAUGAUAAGGCACGAUGACAAUUUCCCGGUCCUUAUUCUGUACCAUAAAGUUUUGGAGGUACUCCCUAGCAGUUUCAUGCUCAAAGUCGCCGAGACUCAAGAAAGACUCAUGCAUGUAGUACGGAUCCGCCACACAGAUUUGCGAGACUUCUUCACUCUUCAUGACGGAGCUCAUAUUUAGCGCAAAAAGGCGGACGAUUGUAAAAUCGAGCCGCCUUGUCAGAAACAUCUCAAAGAUAUGGUCAAACCGCAGGAAGAACACAUCCGCGGGUCGUGUCUCGACAUAGCACUUCCCCUCAGGCACAUGAGCCGCGUAUGUCGGAUAUCCUGGAUCCUUUGAGGCUAGUAGGCUUUUCUCAGUCGACACCACAUGGUCAUGCAGUCUCCUGAAAUCCCCUGAUAGUGCCUCCAGCGGUUUCGGCGGUAGCAUCGGCUCGCCCGUGAGAUGGAACAUGGCCGCACCUUUCAUGGGUACACGCUCUUCAGAAUGCAUCGUCUGGCUGCUUUGUGCUCUGGAUUGUUUGGAGGCAGUUAUCUUCCUCGAUCUCUUCCUCUCCUUUUUCUUGGGCACACCUUCCAGACCCUUCCUUAACCCCUGGCCCAGGGUUCCCGGGCUAAGAACUGUACGAACCCCGGCUAGUUGCGCCUGUGUUGAGGCGACAUCUUCAGGCGUGUCCUGUGAGGAAUUCAUGAAGAGAGACUUUUUGCAAAUCCUUCCAACGACCUUCCUGCCCGGGCAUAUCAUGCAUAUCCUCAUUAGCAUGCUGAUAGCCCGAUUCGUCAUAUGGUUGACUCAUUAUAUCUAUGUCACAGUCAUACGCGUUUGUAUUGAGGAAACCCAUAGGGUCGACCUCCGUCUCAUCAUCCAUUCUCUGUUCUACAGGACCGAUUACAUCAGCCAGUACUAUUGCACCCCCUUCAUCAUGUCAUCCGCCGCUCUCACCCGGCCAUAUAGGAGGUGGUAAUUGCGUAGGCGGGGUGAUGGUCUCCGGACAUGCUUGUUGAUGUGUGGUUAUUGGUGUGCUCUCGGCCGGCUCCAGACGAAUAAGAUUCUUCGGCCAUAGCAGCACCCAACCCUUGCAGCUUCCAAUCUGCGGCGGGGUCUCAUCGUCCUCUCCCAGAUGCUAUACUGGAGGAGGCAAAGCCUUGUGCCCCGAUUUGACACUAGACAAGCUAACCCUAAAGUGUCCAGCGGGGAUCGGCUGGUUGUGGAACGUGGGUUUCAAGGGGUUCAAUAUCAUCCCCUUUCCCAUGUCGACCUUCUGGCCUUUUAUCAAGUAGAGUAUGGUGCACGGGGUUUCUUCACCCUGCAAACACAUAUGUCUGUGGCGUAAAACAUCCGAAAGGCAACGAAAAUGGAAUAUUCUAUAUAUAUAUAUGUAUAUGUUGGUGCGACAUGUAAUUACCGUGACGGCGUCGAGCUCAGCCAAAGACGAAGGCCCACCUAGCGCGCCAGAGACUGAGGACGGGCUUCUAUGAGCGGGAGCGACCGCGAGAGGAGGCCCGGUUGCAUGAGCAAGUGAUGGUGUGGUGUUGUUGUUGUUCAUGGAGUUGCUCCCGACGAAACUAGGCAUCGGGAAAUCAUGUACCAUUUUGUCUGCAUUUUCUUUCGUCCAGUUAAUGAUAGCUGGAACCAAGUUAGUAGCGAAAUCAUUUCUGCAGGCAGUUACAGCUGCAUUGACUGCCUGCUGUAGCAACUCAUUUUUCUCCUCGGUUGUUUUUUCCGCGUCCUCAGCUGCUUUUUUCUCGAGCACAAGCUUCACCUUCACGUCGAUAUCCGAAUGACUAAACUUCUUUUUCUGCUUCUUGGCCUCCGGGCCCUUGUUGUAAAACACCUUCCACGUGGCGCUGUCUCCAGCGCCGUGCACACGACCAUGUUGCGGCCGCUGGCCCAAAGGGAGCCCCUUAAGUUCGUUCAAGGCCCGGUUGAGAGGGGUGUCCCAUUUGGGCCUCAUCGGAGAAGUAGGGCUUCCGGCUGCAAGCUGGUGAUGCUUCUCCAGUAGUCUAAUCAAUUUCCUCGUGAUCUGGUCUGUGUAAUAAAACCUUUUUCGCCUUGUCCCACUUGUAGCGGGCCCUGAUGGAGUCACACUCCAAGGGGUUGGUGAACUUCGCGAAGUGGUCUGGGAGACCCGCGGCUUCACGUUCCGCGUCUUCCUUAUCCCAUAUGGGUCUUUUACCGAGGUAGCCACGGAUUCCGAGGUGAUGCUUCCCCGUGUUCCUUUGCUGAAGGCUCUUGAAUUUGGCAGCCUUAGCCUUGGCUGCCUCGGUAGCGCAAGUGUCCUUGAACUUUUCGAACUCCUCUUCUUUAAGUGUCGGGUUUUCCUCCAGAAUCUUGGACAGGGGUUCCUCAGCCUCAAUACCUCGUUUCACCCUCCCUUUCCAGGAGGCCAAAUCAUUGCUGAACAUGCCCAUGGCGUGAUUGUUAAUCUUUUUCAUCUUCAGAUCAUCCCACGGGUGUUCUAUGUUAUCAUCCUGGUCGGGGAACUUGAAUCUCUUGUGCAACUUCGUUAGGAGCAACUGCGUCAAAUGUUCUUUACUCCUUAAGUCAACGUCAUUGAUGCUCGCGCAUUCCCGUAGGAUGCAUCCUACUUGGUUCCCAUAGCACUUGCGAGGUUCUUCCAGCUCUAAUGGCUCAAGCUUGCCAGGUUCCAUCUUUGUGAUCACAAGUCGUCCAAUCCCUAGUUUGUUAGGUUUUCGUAUCCUCUGCUUCUUAUGCUUCCUCUUUUCGGUAGCGGCAUCGGCGCUGGUACCUUCCCCGCCGGUCUCGGUGCCGCCAUCGGUGUCGGCGUCGUCGGUGUCGAUGUCGGCGUCAGUACCAUCAUCGAGGCCGAUCUGCAAACCUUGCUUAGCAGUCAAAUAGUCGAGGUACACUUGUUCACCCUCAUAAUCCAUCUCAUCUGCAUCUUGGUCAGAAGGCCCAGUUUCUUCGUUGUUCUACAUGUUUCCUAUGAUUAAGUGUCCUCGUUUAUUUCUAAAAGUAUGAAAAAAAAUGAGAAAUGACAUAAAAAAGAAAUCUAUGUGCCAGCACUCGAUAUGCCAACUAUCUAGCACAAAUCAUGCCAAAAUUCACGGCAAAUUUCGGCAUGACCUUUGCUAAAAAAUGGACAUAUCGAGUGCAUGAAAUUCACCGGAACGGAAAUGAAUCAACAUUCCGGCGUAACAUAUGCCACUCGGAUCAUUUACCAAAAUUGAACCAAAACAUCACAUGUCCAAAUGACAUGUUCAAAUUCCAAAUUUGACAUGUCCAAAACAUGACAUAUCCACAUAUCACAUGUCCAGUUCAAAUUUGCAUAUAAAUUCAGCCUACCUAAAUUUGCUUUGACAAGGGAUGUUGAUUUGGAAAAUUGCUUAAAUCCUGCCUUUUCUUUUAACUACAAUUGCUUAACCCUAAAUUUCUGUCCUAUUUUAAAACCUAACUAAAUUCAUAACUAAAUAGAUAACCUAAUUAACAUACUGCCCUAACUAAAACAUAAGUAAAUUAACCGAAGAACCCUAGCUAGCAGAGAGAGGGGAGGGGGGGUUUACANNNNNNNNNNNNNNNNNNNNNNNNNNNNNNNNNNNNNNNNNNNNNNNNNNNNNNNNNNNNNNNNNNNNNNNNNNNNNNNNNNNNNNNNNNNNNNNNNNNNNNNNNNNNNNNNNNNNNNNNNNNNNNNNNNNNNNNNNNNNNNNNNNNNNNNNNNNNNNNNNNNNNNNNNNNNNNNNNNNNNNNNNNNNNNNNNNNNNNNNNNNNNNNNNNNNNNNNNNNNNNNNNNNNNNNNNNNNNNNNNNNNNNNNNNNNNNNNNNNNNNNNNNNNNNNNNNNNNNNNNNNNNNNNNNNNNNNNNNNNNNNNNNNNNNNNNNNNNNNNNNNNNNNNCAGCUCGGGGGCGAGCGCCGGGUUCAGAGGCGAGGGCAGGGUCGGGGGGGGAGCGUCGGGGCGCGGCGGUGCGACGGGGGAAGAGAGAGUGGGGAUUUGGGGGAAAAGAGGCGGGAUGAAGUAGGGAGAGUGAUAAUUUUGGGUUAAGUGGACGUAGCAGUAGUGCGUUUAGACAAAAUGCGCUGCUACUAACUUCACUAGCUGUAGAGGUUUAGACCAAACGCGCUACUACUACCUUAACUAGCUGUAGUGGUUUUCUAAGGAAAUCGCUACUGCUAGCUUGACUAUAGCUCUUUUCAGAAAACUGCUACUACUAUAACCAAUUUUCCUUUUUUUUCCUUUAUUUUCUCCCACUUUUAUUUCCCGAGAGCAGUGAACGAAGGGAAGGCGAUAUAUAUUGCAUCAUUCGACGGUUAAAUAUGUAUACAAAAUAGGAACAGAUGUAUUAAAUCAUUGGACCCAUGCAUAAUAAUGGCUAAGUGUGUAUACAAAAUAGGAACAUAUAUAUAUGUUACAUCAUUUGAUCGAUAACAUAUGGUUCCUCAGUGUUGACGUUUUCGUUUUUGAGUCAGCUUCUUUCCCUUCUUGUUCGUUGAAGAAUAAUUGAGCCCCUCAUUGUGACUUUGCCUUUUCGAUGGUGUACGAUUUUUCUUAGGUAAUGUAGUAUUGAUUCUUCUUUUGACGUAUACUUCAUCAUCAUCGUAUCUUCCCUCAUUGGGUUGCCGUACUGAUCAUAGUCUUCCUCGUUGGCGACUCCAUCCAUUCCAUUGUGUCACGUGCUUAGCGUGUACCCAUGGCUCGUUUUUUGCAAUAGCGUUCACGGUAGCGCUCUUGGCAUCGGUUAUAGUCAUGGUAGUGAAAAUCCGGUUUUCUCUUUCGACAUUCUUAGACCAUCUGACACGGAACAUCGUCGUGUUGUGCAGUCCAGAGUAGUCAAGCUCCCAGAUCUCCUUGACCCUUCCAUAAAAUCGUUCAGUUGCGCCAUUGUCGCUGCCGAUCAUGCAUUCCAUCGUCACCCCUGAGUUCUGAUCAUCACUGUCCAUAUCUUUGGCCUCCGUGUAGAACGUGUAUCCGUUCAUAUCAUAUGCCUGAUAGGUUACGAGGUUGGGGGAGGGGCCAUGUGCUAAGGCGUAUAUGAGCAAUCCGUCCUUAGAGCCCUCCUCCAGGGGAUUAGCAAUAAUAUGCUCUUUGAACCAAUGCAGGAAAGUGAAGUUGUGCUCUUUAGUAACUUCGGCGUCCGUCCUGCAUACCCCCGGUCACGAUACUUCUUUGCGAUAAUUUCUUUGUGUAGUGCCACGAAAGGAUCUACCUCGUCUAGGUGUUGUAGAACUACCAAGUUUGCUCUGUCAAAGUCGUUGCACCGAUCUGAGUAUGCCACGUGCAAUUCACUGCGACCGUUGCAGUGACCUUCUCCUUCGAGCCUCUGAUCAUGCUUGUUAAUGGGCAAACCAACACUAACACAAGGCAGCUGGUCUGUGCCAUAUAGAAAAUUCUCACAGAAAGAGAUGUACUCUUGUGUCACAUAGCCCUGGACGAUGCUUCCAUCCGGACGGGACAUGUUACAAACGAAUCCUUUGAUGAUCCCAUUCAUCCUCUCAAACGGCAUCAUGUUGUGCAGGAAUGACGGCCCCAGGUCUAUUAUGUCAUCCACAAUAUGGACACACAGAUGCACCAUCAGGUCAAAGAACGCGGGCGGGAAGUACAUCUCAAGCUCAUUCAGUAUCACAACGAUCUCUUCUUGUAGCCUUCGGAGCUGCUUCACACUGAUCGACUUUCGAGAGAUGACGUCAAAAAAGUUGCAGAGACCAAUAAGCGUGUCAUGGACGUGCUUGUCCAUUAACCCUCUAAGGGCAAUAGGUAGUAUUUGCGUCAUCAUCACAUGACAGUCAUGGGACUUCAUCCCGCUGAACCUUUUCUUGUCCGUGUCCAGAUAUCUGCUUAUCUUGCCACAGUCACCGGAACUAACUUUGAUUCCGUAAGGCACUUAAAGAAUUGAUCGAUCUCAGCCUGACUUAAGGUGAAGCAAGAAGGGGGGCAAUAAUCCUCUUUCUUUAUUUUCUUGCCCUUCUUCUCCCGUGCCUCUGUCUCCGUCUCUGUCUCAUCUGACAUUUUAUGGGGCGGCAUGUGCAGAUCUUCCCUGAUAUUCAAAUCUUGCAAGUCUUUUCUUGCCUUCGUCCCAUCCUUGGUCUUAUUCGGCAUGUUCAUCAAUGUCGCGAGCAAGCUCUCAAGGACAUUCUUACAGAUAUGCAUUUGAUCAAGGCAAUGAGAUGUAUCGAGUUUGUGCCAAUACUCCAAGUCCCAGAACACAGACCUCGUCUUCCAUACCUUCAGCAGCGGCUCCGGCGCCUUUCUCAUCGUCUUUCACGGCGGGGGGCACUCCUUCCAAAUUUUCAACAGCUCAUCGAUUUUGGCACCGCUCCACUUACAUGGAGGUCCUCGAUGCUCAGAGUGAACAUUGAAUAGAUCUCCACGGUUUCUCCAUGGGUCGUCCUGUUCCAGCCAUCUUCGAUGCCCCAUGUACACGAUUUUCCCAGACCCGCCAUCUUUCCUUGACGUUAGCUGCUGAAACGUCAUAUCAUCCAUGCAUCGCAUGCAUCCGCAAUAUCCAUGGCACACCUGGCCUGCCAUAUAUCCGUAACCGAGAUAGUCCUGCACUGUCGUGAUCAGCGCGGCUCUCAUGUUGAAAUACUCGCCUUUGCUGGCGUCCCAUGUCUUGGCUGGUGUUUUCCAUAACGUGUCUAACUCCUCUUGAAGUAGCCCAAGAUACAAAUUAAUAUUAUUUCCUGGUUGUUUCGGCCCUUGAAUAAGCAUGCUCAUGUGAAUGUACUUUGAUUUCAUGCACAACCAGGGGGGAGGUUGUACAUCCAUACAAACACGGGCCAUGUGCUAUGGUUGGUGUUCUGGUCGCCAAACGGAUUCAUGCCAUUGGUACACGCGCCGAGCACGAUAUUCCUUGCAUCACAUUCAAAAUACCAAUAUAAUAUGUUCAAAGCUCUCCACUAGCUUCCAUCCUUGACGUGUCUCAGCUUCGGAUCAUCUCCAUCAUCGAGCUUCUUCCUCUCCGUGUGCCAGCGCAUUAGCUUUGCUUCCUUGGGAUCUACAAAAUACCUCUGGAGACGGGGAGUGAUCGGUAAGUACCAUACAACUUUCUGGGGACAUUUCUGCCCGGCCUUCUUGUAUCGAGAAGCAUUGCACACCGGACAACUUGUUUUUUCCGCGUGCUCCUUCUGAUAAAUUAUGAAAUCGUUGAUGCAUGCAUGGUAUCUAACGUGUGGCAGAUCAAGAGGGCACACGAUCUUCUUGGCCUCAUUAACACUACUAGGACAUAGAUUACCCGCGGGAAGAACAUCCUUUAGGUACUUGAGAUGCUCAUCGAGGCUAGUGUCGGUCCAUUUGUUUUUAGCCUUCGUCUUCAGGAGUUGGAGCGUGAAACUCAAGCGGGUCACCUCAGGAUUGCAACCAUCAUACAAUGGAGUGUUCGAGUCUACCACCAAUUGCUCCAGCUUAGCCUCCUCUCUAGAAGCAGCUCUCUCAGUACUCGUCUCCUUGCGAAGCAAUGCUUGAACAUGAGGGUCCCACAUGAUUGAACUUAGUACCGACGAACUCUGCUGCGUGGAGUCCAUGUUGUUCUCUCCGCCGCCAUGUCCAGCCCCUUCUCCUCCGCCAUGUCCGGCCCCUUCUCCGCUGCCAUGUCCGGCCUCUUUGCCGCCGCCAUUAUCGAUCAUCUCUUCGUCUUGCCCCGUGUCAUCAUUGCCUGCCCCAUCGGCAUUGUCAACAUCGUCAUCCUCGUCUUCAAUUAUCUACCGAGUAUAGCCAUCCAUGAAACCAGUCAUGAGCAGGUGCGCUCCGACACGACCAUCGUCAUGGGGGUCAAGCCAAACUAUUCCUUUGCAUUUUCGACACGGACAUAAAACCUCUGUCCGGUUAUUUUCUUUCAUGUCCUGCACCGCCGACCGCAACCACCUGUCCACCAUCGUUCCACUGACUAUCGUCAACUCUGCACGGUAAUAAUAAACAAAUUGAUUAUAAAAAUGCGUGCAUGCAUCAAAGUCAUACAAAAAUUCGGCAUGACCUUCCUUAAAAAUAGGACAUAUAUAGAUCUAGAGUUUGCCCGGAAUUCGCCAAAACGGAAAUAAAUCGACAUUUCGGCAAAACAUAGGCAACUCAAAAGCACAAUUUGUCGUCAACUCAUGCCACACACACAAUUUCCAUAAACAUAUCACACACACAUAAACAUAUUUCUAUUUUGCAAAAGCAUGAAAUUUUAAUCACCUCUAUCUCGAGAUCGAGCACAUGGUGAUGAGAUGAUGAUGUAGGGAGAUCAAAAGUACAUAAAGCUCUUCUUGACAAAGGUAGAUCUAGUUAGGGAGCAAAUAGGUCACUUAACUAAAUGCUACAUCUACCUAGCUACCUUAUCUGGGAGGAGACAACUUCAACUAGUGGAGGGGGAAGGAAAAAGAGAAAGGAGAUGCAUUAAUGGAGAUGGUGUAGUUAGGUAGGAGUAAUGAAGAGAGAGAAAGGUAGGUAGAAGAGGGAGAGUAAUGGGGGAGAAGUGUUGAGGAAGAAGAAGAGUGAGAGUGGGAGGAAGUAGGAGGUAGGGGAAAGGGAAGAUAGGAGGGGGAGGGGAGGGGACGGGUGGGGAAAAGGUGGUGGGUUGGUGCAGAUUAGCAGUAGCGUGGGACGUAAAAUGCGCUGCUGAUAAGAAAGUAGCAGCAGCGCGCUUUCGGCAGAAGUGCUACUACUAACCGGGACAAAAGGUGUGUCCAAUUUGAAAGCAGCGACCUUAGAAAAACCGCGCUACUACUAAAGCUUUAGCAGUAGCGCGGUACGCGGCACCGCGCUGCUGCUAAAUGGAGUUUGAGGGGCACUGCCGGUCGAUAUUUGUAGCAGUGCGGGUAACACCAAGCACGCUACUGCUAAAUGCUUAUCAGUAGCGGGUUUUACGCACCGGCGCUAUUGCUAAUUAGCAGCAGCGCUCCUUUUUGAGCUGCGCUGCUGCUAAGAUUCUGUGUAUAGGGUUUUCCCUAGUAGUGUGUCCAUCAUUCCAAGCAAAAUGUGAGUGGUAGAAAGAGAAGAACUUAUACCAAUGUACCUUGACCGAUGUUGAUGAUGAAUCAAGUUCACUCAAAUGCCGACAAUGAAAUAGCACUAUUGGUACCAAUCCUUGUCGGUUCUCACACCUACACAAGUAAAAGCUUAUGGUGGAGCUUGGUUAGAAUGGUGGCACAAAAUUUGAUGCAAUUAAAAGUGAGCUUCAAUAAUGUUGGAAAAGAUUCACAAAUUUGCAAAUGCAACAAGUAGACCAAGCAAGUAGGGGUACACGGAAACACACACGCAAAAAGAUAAGUGGGAUUAUGCAAACCAAAAGUGAGCCAGAAUGUGGAAACCACGAAAAUGCUCUUGUUGCACAAUACUAGAGAGACGCUAGCACGAUUGCACAAUAGGCGGAUACGGAAAUUGUGCACAACCUACUAGGCCAAAAUGCAACGAACUCUAUCCUAAGUAUGAUAUAUGUAUGGUAUUUCGGUGCUAUGAUCCAAGAUGAUCCAAUAUGACAUCUUAAUGUAGAAUGAUGGUAUGGUUCUUGCUCAUAAGCUCUUUUCUUAUCUUUCCUCUUUGCUUCAAAGCUUGGGUGAAUCUUUCACUUUUGAGCUCUUUUCUCAUGCAAAACUUCACGAACCAAGAUAGCAAUUGUGUAUGCGAUGACAACUUUGUGACACGCAAGUUGAUGCCAAGAUAUGCACCACUAUGGUAUGGUAUGUAUGCUAUGGAGCAUGAUCACUAAUGUGCAUAAGUCAUGUUACCUGCAAUACUCAAUGGCUAGUCUCGAUGGGUAAGCAAUGCAAAAGAUGAGCUAUGAUGUUUAUCAAUGCAAUGGCAAGGUUUGGAAAAAGAUGUCGUCGAGAUUACUGUCCUUGCUUACGGUUGAGGGUUCCAAACGGAUGCGAAUGUAGAUGGUGUCAUAGUGCACGGUCUUCAGUAUGUUGGCGAAGAUGCCGCUGCACUAUGGUCAGAGUUGCCGAAGAAUGUUACCGAAAGUUUCAGGCAAGACGGAAGCUCCAGGGAUGGCCCGAAGGUCCGGGGGCCGGAAGUUCUGGGCGGGGCCGGAAGUUCUGGUGGUGGGGAAUCAGCCAAGAACAGAGACUUCGGGAUCGCGGAUUCGGGCGGAAAAACAUGGGGGGAAAACCCAAAUCCGAGGGGAAAAAGAAGAAAUUAGGGGGGGAGAAGGGUAGGGAAGCUAGAUCCACUGGAAGCAAAGCAUAUCCAUGGAUCAAAUCCAACAAAAUUUCAUCACACAAACAAAUCACAAAAAAUAAUUGGGGCUAUUUUUGGUGGGAAUUUUCGGAAUUAGGAGGAAAACAACAAAAUCAAGCUAGAAAACAAAGGGUAGGGGCUCCAAAAACGUGAUCAACGUGGCUCAUGAUACCAAGAUGAUGUAGGGCAGAACCAUAGGGGCCGAUCUUUCAUGUUUGGAGUGGAUCCUACGGAGAAACACGAAGAAUGCAUGGAAGAACACAAGGGAAAACACGGGGAGAAAUGAGAGAAUCACUCAACCGACAAGUAAUUGAUCACACAAGGGCUAGAUCACCGAAAACAUAAGGUAGCACAAGAUUCAAAAUCAACAAAGGGAAGAUACAAGACUAACCGUUCUUCUUCAUGAGGAGGUCUUGAUUGUCUUCUCCGGAUGGAGGCCUUGAAUCCGAAUGGAUCUUCUCCGAGGUGGCACGGUCCCUCACAUGGAGUAGAUCCGGUAUGGAUGAGCUAUGCUCUAUCUCAAGAUGAGCUAUCACAAUGCUAACCCUAAAACGUAGGUAGGAGAAGAGUAUAUAUAGUUUACGGGGCGAAAGGGUACACGGGCCUCGGCCCAAGUGGCUGCGCGCAGGCAGGGCCAGAAGUUCCGGGCUAAGCUGGAAAUUCCGGGCGCCGGAGGUUCCGGGCAAGGUCCGGCCUAAGCCGAGAGUUGGCGCGGGUGGAGCCAGGCUGGCGUCCGGGGGCUGGAUGUUCCGGGGGUCGGAAUGUCCGGGCUGGUUCCGAGCUAACCGGAGAGUUGGCACGCCCGGGCUGGUCGAUGUCGAAGGAGGCCGGAAGCUCCGGGGUGGCCGGACGUUCCGGGGGCCAAAAGUUCCGCUCUCUGGCCGGAAGUUCCAGGCUAUCCAGAGAGUUGACGCCUGUCGCUUCUUCUCCAGCUCCUGGCUCCGUGGCUUGAGCGUUGUACCUGAUCACGCAUAGCAUCUCGGACUUAGGGAGUAGCCAUGUCUCACUGGAAGAAAAGGUGGACUCAAGUAGGAGUGAUGUCACCUCGGAUUGAAUAUCACGAGCCCUUGCUCUUGUCAUGGGUCCACUUGGAGCUUGGAUAGUCGAUGGAAGGUCCAUGGGGAUGACCGGAGGAUGCUCCGCAUCACAUAUGUAGCCUUGGUGCGGUCAUAAUGGAGAUAUUAACAGGAGCCAAGGGAUAUUCUGAAAAUGGGAAUGUAGGAAUAAAUUAAGUGUUUGAUCCAAGCUAAAUUGUAACUUCCAAAAUAAUUAUGUAAAGUCUUUAAUUCUUUAUUAGAAAUACCAUUUCUUAUUUUCUUUUUGAUUUUGCACAUGUACUUAUUUUUGAAAACACCUCUUAAUUAGUAAGGUAGUUGAGUUGUAUUUCAACAAAGAGUAAGAUAGUUGAGUUGUGGGGGCACAAAUCAGACCCAUAAGGAUUCAAAUCCUGGUGCUACAUGCACAUGGGGGUGCUUUAUUAACAUAAACAUUCUAAGAUUCACGGAUAUAUCAUCGAUCUCUGCCAGAUGUUAGACGUGUGUUAAAAGGUGUCUUCAUGUGUAUCUAUUCGUCCACUAUGCAAUACAAAAAAAAUACAACUAUUAUAUAUUUCUUGGAGCACAUAGUUGUACCUUCUUAUGUACUCUUGAAGAAAUAGGUACAUAAGCUGGCUCUUGAGUGCCGAAAUGUAGCUAUGGAAGAACGGCCAGAUAUUAUUCAGGUGAGAGAUCGAGUAAUGAUGCUUAGGAGAGAUAGAGGUGACAACUAUCUGUCGGUUCUGGGGCUCAAACCGGUCUGACGCACUCACAUGUAUCGUCGCCGCCAUCUUUCAUUGGUCCAUCUUAAGAACAGAUUGAGGUGACAACCUUGGCAGGUCCUCCGCCAUCGACGCCAUCACGACGUCAAAGGACGACCUCCACCUACGCGAGCCUUGGCAGGUCCUCUGCCAUUGACGCCACCACGACGCCAGCCGACGACCUCCACCUACGCAACUCCAUCUCCAAGCAACGGUCAUAAAUCCAUGCUAGGAAAGAGCCGCACCACCACGCUCGCCCACCACCCACAAGCGCCACCCAACCCCAAGGUUUCCAAAGCGGCGCCUUCAAGAAGGGAACGACGCCCUGAGCGCAGCCGCCGCCCAACAGAGUUAGGGAUUUCGCCCGGGCAACCUAGGAGAAGGUGAAGUGAGGAGAUUAGUCCAUACCGACGCCUCCAAGGAAGGAAACGGCGCCUUCAGGCGUCGCCGUCGGCACGGCCGGUCAUGGCAGGCCAGAGAUUUCACCCGAACUAGAUCUCCGCCACCAGCAGCACCUCCUGUAUAGAACCGGCGACCAAGAGGAAGCGCGACCAGACCAGGCUGGCCCGCACGCCGAACAGGGGAGGAAUGGACGCGCCAGAUCGUGCACACCGACCGCCGCAGAAGCCGCCGCCGGUCGCCAGCGACCACCGGAUCCCGCCGCCACCAUCCUUGGCGCCACCAAGGGAGGAGGGGAGGGGGGGAGGAGGAGGGCGGGUAGGGUUGGGAGGAGGAGGCGGCCCUGAGGAGGGGGGAGGGUGGAGGGGGAGUAGUAACACCUUAUAUUAUGGGACGGAGAGGGUACUAGAUAAUGAUGAUACGUGUCGUGAUUGAUGAUGAUCUUGAAAUGGCUGUACUUCAGGACGGACAAUGCAGAGAUGCUGAAGCCUGCACCUAUGUCAUGUACAUACUGUAGCUAACAUAAGCCCUCUUUCUUUCCCACAGAAAAAAGAAACAUCAGCCAUCUUUCUAUCGAUCAAUGGGCACAUGACGAAGAGGCUUGUUAUAUGUUGGUUAAAUUUGUUGUUCGAAAUAUAUUUCAUACAAUGUUUUGACCGGUCUUUUGUCAAAUCUUUUGUAUCGGAGACUUUGUAAAACCAAACACUUUAUUAUUGUUUCCCUCCACAGAGAAUACUACAUCACUUUCUGCAGCAACAGCUGCUGGUGGUGGUCAAGGUUUGUUUGUUCAGCUACAGCAGAAGCACCGCUUCACGUCGUUCGUCCCCGCAUAACUGAUGCACAACCCGAAGGUGUAAUACUCCUUGCGGCAGUGCUCAACGCAUGGCCGAUCCUCACAAGGACCAGUAUAUGUCAUGCUGGGUUCCGCACAAUGUAGACCAUCAGACCCUG
rnacentral:lncRNA from 1 species